UACGUAGGGUGCGAGCGUUGUCCGGAAUUAUUGGGCGUAAAGGGCUCGUAGGCGGUCCAUCGCGUCGGGAGUGAAAAGCUGGGGCUUAACCCCAGUCCUGCUUUCGAUACGGGUGGACUAGAGGUAGGCAGGGGAGAAUGGAAUUCCUGGUGUAGCAGUGAAAUGCGUAGAUAUCAGGAGGAACACCGAUGGCGAAGGCAGGUCUCUGGGCUGACACUGACGCUCAUGCACGAAAGCGUGGGGAGCAAACAGG
rnacentral:rRNA from 1 species